rnacentral:lncRNA from 1 species
UAAUCUUACUUUAUAAGUAUUUUCACCGAUUAAAAAUAAAAUAAGAGUUGUUAUUAUAAUUAAUAAUGAUUGAAAUUCGGGAAUAAGAUUAUGCAAACAUUUUAAUGAUUCUUUCAUACUUUCAUAAAUCAUAAUAUCGAAUACAUCAGUAGUCAGUAGUCUGGUGCAGUUAUUUUGUUAAGCAUUACAUUUUUGGGAAAAUUGCCGCAUUCUCAUAUUAAUAUAAUAUCUAAUUGCAAAAGCAAUUAUUUCUUCGCUAUGCUGGAAACAUGGAAAAUAAAUAAUAUUGUUUUUUAAUAAUUCAACAAAAUUAAAAAAAUGUAAAUUUGGAUGAAUAAGUCCACCUCUGGAAGUUAAGUUAGUUAGUCGAGCAACAGGUUCAACCGAAU